rnacentral:misc_RNA from 1 species
CUCACAGUUGGUCCAUUACACUUUUUUCUAUAAUAAAUCUUCUCUCUCUCUCUCUCUUCAGGUGAGACCAAACCAAUUAACAUCUUUAAAGCCUAAAAUAAGUGGCUAAGAGGAAGAAGAGAGAUAAAGAAGAAAAGAGCAACCAAAGAUAAGGAUGAAAAUGGCAGCUGAUUUUGCAAGUCCAAAGCUGAAGCUUCUGCUCCCCAUCUUCUGUUUCUUCACCUUCUUUUCUUUUGCUGUCUCUGGACUUGCAGCUAACACCACCGCUAAGCUUCACCCAGCAGAAGUGAAGGCAUUGAAAGAGAUAGGGAGAAAACUGGGGAAGAAAGAUUGGGAUUUUGGAAUGGAUCCAUGCAGUGGAAAAGGGAAUUGGAGUGUUUUGGAUGAAAAGAAAGGGUUUGAAAGCACUGUCACUUGUAAUUGCAGCUUCAAUCACAACUCCACUUGCCAUGUAGUAAGCAUUGCCUUAAAGGCUCAGAAUCUAUCUGGAAUCGUUCCACCAGAAUUUUCAAAGCUUGGCUACCUUGAACUACUGGACCUCAGUCGCAACUGCCUCACUGGUUCUAUACCUAUCCAAUGGGCUACCAUGCGCUUAGUCGAUCUCUCUUUUAUGGGGAAUCGAUUGUCUGGUUCAUUUCCAAAAGUUCUCACCAAUAUCACCACCCUCAAGAACCUGAGCAUUGAGGGAAAUAAAUUUUCAGGAUCCAUUCCACCAGAAAUUGGAAAAUUGAUAAAGUUACAGAAAAUUAUCAUUUCAUCAAAUGCAUUCACAGGAAAAUUACCCUCAGAGCUUACCAAGUUGGUCAACUUGACUGAUUUGAGAAUAAGUGAUAAUAAUUUCUCAGGAAAGAUACCUGGUUUCAUCAGCAAAUUGACACAGAUUCAGAAACUGCACAUACAGGGUUGCUCACUUGAGGGACCUAUACCUUCUACCAUUUCUGUGUUGACAAGCCUAACCGAUCUGCGGAUUAGUGAUCUGAAAGGAAAAGGUUCAACAUUCCCACCUUUGAGUGAUAUGGAAUCGAUCAAGACACUGAUACUAAGGAAUUGCAUGCUAUCUGGAGAGAUCCCAGAAUUUAUUGGGAACAUGAAAAAACUAAAAAAUCUGUGAGUAGAUUCAUCUCAAGUCUCUAAUGAGUCCCUAACAAUGGAUGUUUUCUCAUUCAAACCUAAUAUUGUUAAUAUGACUAAAUUUUAUUCUCUCAAACAAUGGUAAAAUUAAAGCCUUUUCAUAUAUCAUUUUGAAGAAAUCCCAGAAUUAAUGAAAAAAAUUGGCUUUAAGCUUGGGAUACCACUUUCUGUGUAUGUGGCUUGACAUACCAAAAUCAUAUUUUAUGUUAUGUGGAAUUUCUCUACUGGAUCUUAGCCAGCAUUUAAAAACAAAAAAUCCCAUGUGAAGGGGGUCUAAAUCCAUACACAUGGAACGGAAAAUUGCUUUUAAAUUUUCCCUCUCUUUUCCCCCUUCCUUUUUUCUUCUCGGAUUAUUUGUUUUUCCUUGUCAACGUAGAGAUCUCAGCUUCAAUAACCUGACUGGAGGAAUUCCUACAUCAUUUUCCCAAUUGGCGAAAGUAGAUUUUAUGUAAGUGGAUGUCCCAAGUGAAUAUUAUAAAUUUGUUGGCUGUACUUGAGUUAGCAUAACGUUGGCUAUUUAUUAUUUUAUUAGGUACUUGACAGGAAACAGGCUCACUAGAUCUAUACCUGAAUGGGUCCUUGAAAGGAACAAGAAUGUGUAUGUUUAUUUCCUUCACAUACAUUUUCAAGCUUGAAGUUCCACAUCUUCCCAAAAGUUGUCCUGGUCCAACAGCUUUUAGGGAAUGCUUAUUUAAACCAUUUGCUUCUGGAGCAACUUAAAUAUGCAAGUGCAAGGAUGUGCAAAUGGUGUCAUAUAAUCCAAUGUAACUCACCAUCUUCAAUUUGGAAGUAAAAUUAAGCUCACAAGGGAAAAAAAUCAUAUUAGGAUAGCGUUUUACUGCUGCCAUACUUGAACUAUGUAGAUGAUAACUGUUGAAGCUUUUACUGGGUUUCAUCUGUAGGGAUUUUUCUGAUAACAACUUCACGUGGGGAAGCUCAAGUCCAAUUGAAUGUCCUGGAGGGAGUGUGAACUUAGUGGAGAGUUACUCUUCAUCAGCAAACAAAUUAAGUAAAGUCCAUUCAUGCCUGAAACAGGACUUUCCUUGUUCUUCUUCAAGUAAACGUGAGUAAAUCAUUUGAGCUUAAACUUCCAGAAAUGCAUGCACCCUUUUUACAAUUGGCAUGUUCAGUUUGUUUGACUUGGCCAUUUCUUGAAAAUUUCACAGAUUUUCUUUCUAAUUUAAAGCUUUAUUCAUAUCCAAGUAUCUCUGUUUAACAUGGAAUAGUCAGGCUUGCAGAAGCAUAAAGAACUUCGAAGGGAAAAAAGUCGAACACAUUAAUAUAAGAAUUCUUAUGCUUUAAUUAACCUUUUUCAGGGUCUCGAAGUCAAUAAUCAGCAGUUCACCAUAAUUUUGGAUAUUACGCAUAAUAUAUUUUCCAAAAGUAAAAUAAAUGUAUUAGUCGGAUAUAUCCUGAAAUAUCACUAACAGAUGACUUAUAUUAUAUGCCUCAGUUGGCUGUACAAAAGAUCAUGAUGAUUUUUGUUCUCUUUCGCAACUUCCUGCUUCUCGUUAACUUUAGGAGUAAUUGUUCUCUCAUGGAACUUCCUACCUUUUACUUCACUAUCUCAUCAAUUGCUUUUUGCCAAAACCAUCAAGACGCCUAAAUCAUACUUUCUUUAAUAAAGUUCCCAAAUCUAUUUCUAAUGAAAUAAGAAACCUUUCACAUGGUUGUUACAUAAAAUCAUUAAUAGAAAAUCCUCAUAAAACGAGACCUCCCAGUAGUUAGUGUAAUUACAGUUUAAUGAAUACUAUUAGGUUGGAGAGAAGGAAAUGGUUUGUUUGCACAUUGUGUAUAUAGGACCAAGAAAACGAAAAAAUGGUAAUUUUAAGGAAGGAAUGUAUUAAGUAUUUCAACUUCAUUUGAUGAAUUAGUGAUUCAGGAAUUAUUUUUGAAAUAUAGUUGAUUGUGCAUAACAUAGUUUCUUGUCAUUGAUAAAAAUAUGGCAAGUUUCUGAAAUUCAGAAUGAUAUAGAAUUUCUUUAAUUUAAUAAAAAUGUUUUGCCAAUUUUCUGAGUUUCUUAUCAGAUAAAAAUCAGUAAGAGAUGCAUUAUGUUUAUUUAAGUUAAGAAACGAGAUAUGGCCGGAAGAGAGGAAAACCGGGAGACAAAUUCUUGUUAGUCGGCAGUGAAAAUGGAAAAAAUCCUGUCAGUUGAUUCAACUAGGUUCCAUAUUCCACUUCCAUUUUAGCCUUUUCUGGAAAUUAUGUAUUUAAAUCGUUCUUUUGCAUUGUGAUUUCUUAUCAGAUUACUCCUUGCAUAUUAAUUGUGGUGGUAAAGAGGUAAUUGCCGGUGAUAACACCACAUUCCAAGCUGAUUUAGAAGCAAGAGGUGCUUCUCUGUUUUACUCUCAUCAGUCUUGGGCAUUUAGCAGCACUGGAAACUUCAUGGACAAUGACAGAGAUGCUGAUUCCUAUGUUCAGACCAAUAAUUCUGCUAUAUCCAAUGCCUCUGCUCUAGAUGCACAACUGUACACCACAGCGCGCGUUUCUCCUCUCUCUCUCACUUACUAUGGACUUUGCCUUAUGAAUGGGAAUUAUACUGUAAAGCUCCACUUUGCAGAGAUUGUUUUCACAAAUGACACUUCAUUUUAUAGUCUUGGGAAGCGUUUAUUUGAUGUUUAUAUCCAGGGAAAGUUGGUUCUGAAAGAUUUUAACAUCGCAGAAGAGGCUGGUGACGUUGGUAGGCCAAUUGUAAAGAGAUUUACUGUGGCUGUAACAAGCCACACGUUAAAGAUUCACUUUUAUUGGGCUGGAAGAGGGACAACAGGCAUACCAGUUAGAGGAGUUUAUGGCCCUCUUAUAUCAGCUAUAUCAGUUGAUCCAAACUUCAAACCACCUUCAGAUAACAAAAAGGAAGUCAUCAUAGUGACUGGCACUGUGGCUGCAACAUUGUUUCUUAUCCUUCUGUUCCUGGGUAUCAUGUGGAGGAAAGGCUGUCUGGGAGGCAAAGUGUCUGCAGAUAAAGGUGUUACACAUCCCGCUAGUAAUCUUUGUUAUAGCCUUAUAGGGGCAAAGAACGAAAGUUCAUUGAAAUCUUGCAUUCAAAUUUGUACACGUAAAAUAUGUUUGAAACCCCCUAUAUGUCACAUUGUACAUUCAAUAUAUUGUCACGUGGAAUUUAUUUGUCUCUAUUCCUAAAUGUCGUUUCUCCAUUAUCCAAUAUGGCUAAAUUUGCAAGUCUGCACACUAAAACCAAAUACAGAAACACCACUGCUAGCUAGCCUACUCCAGAAAAGCAAGCAUUAAGCUUGAAUUUCCUUUCAUAUAUUUUUCUUCUUACUAAACAUGACUUCUUAUCCACUCAGAACUCAGAGAAAUAAUUGUUGCAUCCAUAGAAUUUACUUCUGAAUCUGGUUAAGUUUCCAUACUGCAUAUAAGCUGUUAAAUUGGUCAUAGUAUUGCCAUGCUAUUCUCACAAAUCAUAACUUUUAUUAUUAUGCACACUAGAGAGAUUUGGUUAUGGUUAUACACCUUCCAUGUUUGCAAAAGAACAAAGGGGGAAAUGAUUUAGAAUUCCCUAUUGACAUAUAAAACUGCAUUUUGCAGAGCUGAGAGGUCUAGAUCUGCAAACAGGAAUAUUCACACUAAAACAAAUAAAAGCUUCCACUAAGAACUUUGAUGCGGAAAACAAAAUUGGAGAGGGUGGUUUUGGCUCGGUUUACAAGGGUCUACUAGCCGAUGGAACUGUAAUUGCAGUAAAGCAGCUCUCCUCAAAGUCUAAGCAAGGUAACCGUGAAUUUGUGAAUGAAAUA